AGCAACCAGUACACUUCAGAAAGUAAGUUUCUUUCUUUUUUUCUUUAUUUUUCUAGGUUUACAAAGCUUAAUUGUGGACUGCCUUCAAGUGAGGUGAUUUGAUUGGUGCUGUGGCAGAAGACAGAGGAGAAUGUCUUUCCUUCAACCUCAGGGAAAAGGCUGGUGUCCAUCAGAAUCCCACCCUGCUGUGGGCAGCUGGGCUGUGCAUAGGUAGCAGCAAACCAAAAGCCAAACCAACUUAAAAUAGCAGAGGUUAUGAAUGAUGCCACAGAGUGAUCAGAGAUAUCCAAAGCAAGGGAAAGAUAUAAAAGAUAUUUAACAGUUUGCAUCGGUGUUUCCGUGUCUUGCCUGGAAGUCUUUACAAUCACCCCUGUAUCUGAGUUACAAGCAUUUCAACCAGCCAAUCAGAGAACUAAGGCAAACUCUAACUACUACAUGACCACUGAUGUGCCCUGAAUAGAAGGUGACAAACAUCUGAGUCCACAAAAUGUUUCAGGGGUUUUUGGCUAUUUAUCAAGUCAUUCUA